rnacentral:lncRNA from 1 species
UUACUUCUCCCCACCCCUCCAGGUAUCUGAAAUAGAAAAAAAAGGAAAUAAUUCUCCCUGAGAGAUUUCUGCCUCCUUCUUCUUUCUUUUCAACAGCAACCUCAACUGUUGACAGAGGUUCCUUAGGAUUCAAAGAACAUUUUCUAAUCCAAGCAUCUUUAUUAUAUCUUUUUCCCAAUAUGGACGUCUUCUUGUACUUUUUAUUCUGGUAACAAUAUGCAGUUUAUGAGGGUUCUGUGGAUCCCCACCAUAUUUUUCAUGAUCUUCAGGUGAGGCCUGAAACACCUAGAAAGGAAAGAAUUAUAAAUGGUAAAUUUCUAACUUACACAGUUUCUGUGUACCUCCCAUUUUUU